GACGAACGCUGGCGGCGUGCCUAAUACAUGCAAGUCGAGCGACCAGCCAGGGCUCUUCCUCGGUCAAAGCAGGGAACGGGUGGGUAACUCGUGGGUAACUAACCCCCAUAUCCGGGAGAGCUCGCUUAGACACGGGCUAACACAGACCGUACACACUGUCCAUCGGUUCAGUUCGUAAAGGAAGCUUCGUCCUCCUAAUCGGUAGGGGCCCGCGGCCCAUUAGUUUGUUGGUUAGGUAACGGCUCACCAAGACCGCGAUGGGUAGCUGGUCUGAGAGGACGAUCGGCCACACUGGGACUGAGACACGGUCCAGACUCCUACGGGAGGCAGCAGUGGGGAAUCUUGCGCAAUGCGCGAAAGCGUGACGCAGCAACGCCGCGUGGGGGAAGAAGGCCUUCGGGUUGUAAACCCCUUUCAGGAGGGAAGAAGGUUCGGCGGUGAAUAGCCGUCCGGACUGACGGUACCUACACAGGAAGCCCCGGCUAACUACGUG
rnacentral:rRNA from 1 species